CUUGCUUUCUUUGCUGGCGACCGGCGCACGGGUGAGUAACACGUAUCCAACCUGCCCUUUACUCGGGGAUAGCCUUUCGAAAGAAGAUUAAUACCCGAUAGCAUAAUGAUUCCGCAUGGUUUCAUUAUUAAAGGAUUCCGGUAAAGGAUGGGGAUGCGUUCCAUUAGGUUGUUGGUGGGGUAACGGCCCACCAAGCCUUCGAUGGAUAGGGGUUCUGAGAGGAAGGUCCCCCACAUUGGAACUGAGACACGGUCCAA
rnacentral:rRNA from 1 species